rnacentral:rRNA from 1 species
GACGAACCGUCCUAACGUUGUUCGGAAUCACUGGGCUUAAAGCGUGUGUAGGCGGGAUGGUAAGUACCUUGUGAAAUCCCACGGCUUAACCGUGGAAUUGCUUGGUAUACUGCCGUUCUUGAGUCAUCUAGGGGCAGCCGGAACAGAUGGUGGAGCGGUGAAAUGCAUAGAUAUCAUCUGGAACGCCAAUGGUGCAGACAGGCUGCUGGGGAUGUACUGACGCUGAGGCACGAAAGCCAGGGGAGCAAACGGG